AGAUUGAACGCUGGCGGCAGGCCUAACACAUGCAAGUCGAGCGGUAGAGAGGUGCUUGCACCUCUUGAGAGCGGCGGACGGGUGAGUAAUGCCUAGGAAUCUGCCUAGGUGGUGGGGGAUAACGUUCGGAAACGGACGCUAAUACCGCAUACGUCCUACGGGAGAAAGCGGGGGACCUUCGGGCCUCGCGCCAUUAGAUGAGCCUAGGUCGGAUUAGCUAGUUGGUGAGGUAAUGGCUCACCAAGGCGACGAUCCGUAACUGGUCUGAGAGGAUGAUCAGUCACACUGGAACUGAGACACGGUCCAGACUCCUACGGGAGCAGCAGUGGGGAAUAUUGGACAAUGGGCGAAAGCCUGAUCCAGCCAUGCCGCGUGUGUGAAGAAGGUCUUCGGAUUGUAAAGCACUUUAAGUUGGAGGAAGGCAGUUACCUAAUACGUAUCUGUUUGACGUUACCGACAGAAUAAGCACCGGCUAACUCUGUGCCAGCAGCCG
rnacentral:rRNA from 1 species